UGGCCAGAAUUCCUGUGUGAGCUGCUUGGGGGGCCCUGCCCUGCCAGGGCUUGCACUGGGUGAUCUCCAGAGGUUCCCUCAACCCUGGUGCUGCUGUGGGAAGGGCUGAGCCGGUGCUGGGGCUGCGUCGUGCUCCCGGGGCACAGGAGGAAGCAGAAGUGCUGCUGCCGCAGCGCGGGGGGGCUGGAGGGGUUGAACCCUCGUUUCCUCUGUGUGGGCUCAGCGCUGGGAGCUGCUGGGGCUGGGGCUGUGUCCAGCGGGGCUGGGUGCGAUGGGGGACUGGAGCUCGCCCAUCAGCUCGCUGGGUGGGGAGGUGCUGGCCCGGCUCUGCCAGCUCCUGGACAUCACUGGCUGCGGCUGGCGCAGGUUGGCUGAGGUGGCGGCGUCAGCGCUGCAGGUACCUUGCAGCGAGGAGGAGCUGGAGAUGUGCUCGCUGAAGGUGCUGGAGCCCCAUGGCAGCCCCGCACAGAGCCUCCUGCAGCUCCUGGCUGAGCGCAACUGCACCCUGCAGGACCUGCUGGGCUGCCUGGGGAGGAUGGGGCACAUGCAGGCCUGCCACGUCCUCAGCAGUGCCGGCUGCUCUCUCCUCUCCCAGUCCAGGAUACAAUCUGCAUCGUGGAGCAGCCGGAGUCGCAGGUGGUGGCAGAGGGGACACAUGUGUCCCUGAGCUGCCGGGCCGCCGGCCCACCGGGGCUCACGUACCAGUGGUUCUGCGGGAGGCAGGAGGUGCCUGGAGCCACGGCCCCGGAACUGGUGAUGGACACGGCUGCACUGCGGGGCCGUUCUGAGUGGUUCAUCUGCCGUGUGAACCGUGGGAAUGCCUUCACCUUCUCCCAGUGGGUGUGCGUCCAGGUGGAGAGGAGCAGCCUCCGUGCAGGUGGGCCCCGAGAGAGGGUCCCCAGACUGGAACCUGUGGGGCACCACUUGUUCCCAUCAGGAAUGGGGUGGCUCCCGCAGGACAUUGACUGCCAUGUUGCACCCCAGCUCUGGACCUUCUGGGGUUACGGUGCCCAUGGAGGAGUUGUAUUAUGGAAUGGUUUGGGUUGGAAGGGACCUUAAAGCUCCUCCAGCCCCAACCCCUGCCACGGGCAGCGACCCCUUCCACUGGAGCAGCUUGCUCCAGGCCCCUGUGUCCAACCUGGCCUUGAACACUGCCAGGGAUGGGGCAGCCACAGCUUCUCUGGGCACCCUGUGCCAGCGCCUCAGCACCCUCACAGGGAAGAGCUUCUGCCUAAGAGUUAUCUCUGUCUCCCCUCUGGCAGGUUAAAGCCAUUCCCCUUGGCCUGUCCCUACAGGCCCUUGUCCAAAGCCCCUCUCCAGGUUUCCUUUAGGCACUGGAGCUGCUCUAAGGUCUCUCCUUAAGGAGCCUUCUCUUCUCCAGGCUGCCCCAGGCCAGCUCUCAGCCUGGCUCCAUAGGUUGAGGGAAUACCCUGUGUCUUCCUCAUGUCCACUUGUCUCAUUCCACCCAUGGGUGCCAGGACCUGCAGCUGGGGGACCUGUGAGCAGCCCUAUGGAGCUCUGGGUGCUCAGUUUGCUGCCUCAUCCCCUCUGCAGCCGACGGUCACUGCUCGACCAUGUCAGGGCUGCAGGUCCUGCAGCACCCUCAGCCAUGUCCCUGGGCAGUGCCAGCCCCAUGUGCGCAGGGGCAUGGUGCCCAGAGCCCACAGCUCAGUACUGGAGCAGGGUUGGCUUCAUCCAGGUCUGGAAGAAAUAGAGAGAAAUAAGCAGAUUAAGGGGCAAAUCCUGCAGGAGGGGAUUAGAGAGGGUGGGAGUGGGAGGGCUCCUGCUCUGUCACGAGGGCCUGGGAGAAUGCCCCAGUCCUCCCAGUACGAGCUCUGGUGCGGGAGGGGGCAGUCAGUGAUUUCAGAUGGGAUUGGGAUCUCUGAGGGGGGUGAAAAAUGCCUUUUUGCUUGGGUUUUCCCCAAACUGGAUCUCAAGUGGGGAAAGCAUCAGUAAGGAGGGGAGGAUGGGGGCUCUGGGCUCUGUCCUGCAGUGAAAUGGCAUCGGUUUAGACCACAACUCUUGCCUGUUUCUGCAUUAAAUGCCCUCGGGAGGGAAGGUCAC